GUCCCUGUAGCUUAAAUAAAGCAUGGUACUGAAGAUACCAAGAUGGAUCCCACUCUCCCAAGGACA
rnacentral:tRNA from 1 species